rnacentral:rRNA from 1 species
UACAGAGGUCUCAAGCGUUGUCCGGAUUGACUGGGCGUAAAGCGCACGCAGGCGGGGGUGCGCGUGGGGUGUGAAAUCUGGCCGCUUAACGGCCAGGCGCCAUCCCAUACGGCACGCCUGGAGCCUUGCAGAGGUCGGUGGAAUUGCCGGUGUAGUGGUGAAAUGCGUAGAGAUCGGCAGGAACACCCAGGGGGAAGCCAGCCGACUGGGCAAGUGCUGACGCUGAGGUGCGAGAGCGUGGGGAGCGAACCGG